rnacentral:misc_RNA from 1 species
ACAAAAAGUAGGUGCUCUGGUGAACGAGUUGCAUUUCACUUUGAAACCAAAGUUUCCCUUUCUUUUCUUCCUAGAAUAUUUUCUGCUUUGGGGGAACCUCGUGCGUGAUCGCCAAGUCAUGUGAGAAUGGAGAAUGCAGACUUGAUGCUUCUUGCAAAGGUAUGUAGACAUUUUCUACACAGGACGAAGUACAAUUUGGAAAGAAGAAAAAGUAAAGCCGUUAAGAUGAUGUCAAACCAAAACCGAACACGCACAAUGCAUUGAUACCGAAUGUCCCUCAAACUUAGACAGUUAUUAUUGUCAUGCUAAUAUAGGUUUGAUAUUAGAGCCGAGCUGGGAAACUACCAACGGAGACAAGAUGUUCCUUUUUCAUCUUGGGGGUGGGCGAUGAUCUGGGGCGCCGGUUUGCUAGUAGCACCGUCCUGUAAAUAAGAAGUCUGUAAGAUGUGUAGUAGUUUAAAAGCGCUUGCAUCGCGUAUGAAUGAUAUCAUCAAAGCACUAGGUCGAAGCUCUGUGUACAACAAAGAACAAAAUUAUAACCUGAGACCCGAGAAAAGUAUCUUGCCACUUAAGCAACAAGAAGAAGCUUCGUUUGAUAUCAGUAACUUCCUCAAAACGAACGCAGACACUUGCAGACAACCUCUGUCCCACGAUGUAUUCAAUUGUCCCAAACGAACGCGCCGCUACAUGUUUGACGUAACAAAAGGAAGGUGUGUUCGAUUUUGGGGAUGCAGGAAGCCCGGAAACAACUUUGACAAAAAGAGAACGUGCAAAGAGACGUGUAUCACGGCAUAUAAAGGCAGGUCGAGAAAAUCAAGACCAAGGAACGAAAACUGCUUACUUCCGGUCGAGAAUGUGCACGUGGUUUGCUUUGGAAAACUACGUCGGCGAUGGGUAUAUGACGUCAUUAAAAACAAGUGCGUGAAAAUCAAGGGAUGUCCGCGACCCGGAAACAACUUCCAAAAGCGACUGGAAUGCAAAUCUCAAUGCGUGCGCCGCAGGAAAGGGAAGAAACUUGGAUGAAUAAACUUCCCGCUGCAAGUCUGAAAUAGUACCCCUGUAAAGAAGGGCGUUUGCACUACAAGUCUUUACAAUUCAGGAGUGUGGACCUGUAGACUUGUAUGAGCCCAGGUUCCCGUGAGUACUUACGAUGAUGACUUCCUUCAUCACCCCAUAAAUGCAGCAUUCAGUGUUAUCUAGAGGGCACGGUUACAAGCGGCGGGUCCGCAUAUAACACGGAAUCUCUUGUAGGUUCUACGACUAAGACUAAAAUUAACCACAUCGAACUUAAUUCUUCAGUUUUCGUUCGAAUGAAGAGAUUGUUUUUUACAGCCAUGUUAUUUUUUAUGAUUCAUGUUUUCUAAGGUUUUUAAAAUGUUGACAAUAAAAUGUACAAACUCCU